rnacentral:rRNA from 1 species
UGCCAGCCGCCGCGGUAAUACGGAGGGUGCAAGCGUUGUUCGGAAUUAUUGGGCGUAAAGAGCAUGUAGGCGGACUGUUAAGUCUGAUGUGAAAGCCCGGGGCUCAACCCCGGAAGUGCAUUGGAUACUGGCAGUCUUGAGUAUGGGAGAGGAAAGUGGAAUUCCGAGUGUAGGAGUGAAAUCCGUAGAUAUUAGGAGGAACGCCGGUGGCGAAAGCGACUCUCUGGUCUGAUACUGACGCUGAGGUGCGAAAGCUAGGGGAGCAAACGGGAUUAGAUA